rnacentral:rRNA from 1 species
GACGAACGCUGGCGGCGUGCUUAACACAUGCAAGUCGAACGGAAAGGCCCUGCUUUUGUGGGGUGCUCGAGUGGCGAACGGGUGAGUAACACGUGAGUAACCUGCCCUUGACUUUGGGAUAACUUCAGGAAACUGGGGCUAAUACCGGAUAGGAGCUCCUGCUGCAUGGUGGGGGUUGGAAAGUUUCGGCGGUUGGGGAUGGACUCGCGGCUUAUCAGCUUGUUGGUGGGGUAGUGGCUUACCAAGGCUUUGACGGGUAGCCGGCCUGAGAGGGUGACCGGCCACAUUGGGACUGAGGUACGGCCCAGACUCCUUCGGGAGGCAGCAGUGGGGAAUAUUGCACCAUGGGCGGAAGCCUGAUGCAGGAACGCCGCGUGCGGGAUGACGGCCUUCGGGUUGUAAACCGCUUUCGCCUGUGACGAAGCGUGAGUGACGGUAAUGGGUAAAGAAGCACCGGCUAACUACGUG